AAUUUGCAAAUUCUGUUAAAUUUACUUUCUUAUUAUUUUUUAUCAAUUCUGUUUUGUGUGAACCCCAGUUCAAUUGAAAAUAAGAUGGCAUUUUGAUAAUUAAUUCCUGCAAUAGGGAAGAGUUAUUAAGUUCAUCUAAUAAACCACAAGCUUUAAUUGUAGUUUCCAAACCCUUUACUUCAACGGCGAAAGAUUGAACUUAAUAUUUUUUCUGGUUGGCCGUAAAGCAGUUUUAAAGUGGACAUAGCAGCUGGUACACAAGUGGGGUGGAUUAAAAUGUGCUGGACUGAUCGCAUAGCUUCUCCACGUAAUGCUCUUUGUAGGCGGACCAAGUUUUCUGCAUCAGUUAAGCCACAAAUAUUGGUGGACCAGUCGUAUGUUGAACUAAAAAGUGGCCAUUCUUCAGGCAUACCUGUAAACGUCGGUAGAUCUUUUGGCACAGUUUGUCGUGCGUUUAUUUGUUGGUGCGUGAGGUUAUUUUGAACAUUGCAUACAUUUGGUCUUAAUGUAGACGAGGGAUGCAUAUAAAACGUAGGUUCAUUAUAACGAAAAUCAAGCGGCGGAGCUGGUUGUGUUUGUGGAUUUGUUGUAGUGUACCGUGAUGUGUCCAUGCUUGGUCGAAAGGUAUACGAUGGCAGCAUGGGAAACACUGGGCCAGUAUAUGGAAUAUUUGGCGGUUGUGGUACUUGAGUUUGUGUGUUAAUUUCUGCAUUUGCAUUAUUGUUUAUAAUGUCACUUUCGACUUGUUUUGUUGAAUAUAAAUUAUUUUGUGAUGGAUUAUUAAUAAACGUUGAUAUAAUUGAU